CCUACGGGUGGCAGCAGUGGGGAAUAUUGCACAAUGGGGGAAACCCUGAUGCAGCGACGCCGCGUGGGCGAGGAAGUACCUCGGUAUGUAAAGCCCUAUCAGCAGGGAAGAAACAGGACAUUACCUGACUCAGCCGCCCCGGCUACCUACGUGCCAGCAGCCGCGGUAAUACGUAGGGGGCAAGCGUUAUCCGGAUUCACUGGGCGUAAAGGGAGCGCAGGCGGCAUGGCAAGUCUGAUGUGAAAACCCGGGGCCCAACCCCGGGAGGGCAUUGGAAACUGCCAGGCUGGAGUGGCGGAGGGGUAAGCGGAAUGCCUAGUGUAGCGGUGAAAUGCGUAGAUAUUAGGAGGAACACCAGUGGCGAAGGCGGCUUACUGGACGACGACUGACGCUGAGGCUCGAAAGCGUGGGGAGCAAACAGGAUUAGAUACCCGAGUAGUC
rnacentral:rRNA from 1 species